UACAGAGGUCUCAAGCGUUGUUCGGAUUCAUUGGGCGUAAAGGGUGUGUAGGUGGCGCGCUAAGUCGGGUGUGAAAUUUCGGAGCUUAACUCCGAAACUGCAUUCGAUACUGGCGUGCUUGAGGACUGGAGAGGAGACUGGAAUUUACGGUGUAGCAGUGAAAUGCGUAGAUAUCGUAAGGAAGACCAGUGGCGAAGGCGGGUCUCUGGACAGUUCCUGACGCUGAGGCACGAAGGUCAGGGGGAGCAAACGGG
rnacentral:rRNA from 1 species